rnacentral:rRNA from 1 species
CAAGAAUAUUAGUCAAUGCUCGCCAGAGUGAACUAGCUAACUGGAAUCAUGAGUGUGUCACUUAUGACUUAUAUAAACCAAAUAAUGAUACAAUUUAUACUAAGAAGUGUUGUCCAAAUACUGGUGCCAGAAGACUCGGUAAGGCCAGAGACGCAAGCGUUAAUCAUCUUGAUCAGGCGUAAAGGGUUUGUAGGCAGCUUUAAGAUUAGUCUCCCCGAUUAAUCAAAGCUAGAAUCAAAUAGAAGUGCAGAGAAUUCCUAGAGUAGGGUUGAUAUCUGAAUAUCUUAGGAAGAAUACUAAAUAGCGAAGGCACUACACUAUCUACUGAUUGACGCUGAGAGACGAAGGUGAGGAUAGAAAACAGGAUUAGAGACCCUAAUAUCCCUCUCUGUAAACGAUGAAUGGUAGUUGCUAGUUGCUCACCCCAAAUUAGUGAUGAUGCUAACGCGUUAACCAUUCCGCCUUGUGAGUAUGACUGCAAAGUUGAAAACAAAAAAAUUAGUCGGUUUCGGAGCAA